ACGGAAGGCAGCAGUGGGGGAUAUUGGACAAUGGGGGAAACCCUGAUCCAGCGACGCCGCGUGAGUGAAGAAGUAUUUCGGUAUGUAAAGCUCUAUCAGCAGGGACGAAAAAGCGCAAGCAUUGACGGUACCUGACUAAGAAGCCCCGGCUAACUACGUGCCAGCAGCCGCGGUAAUACGUAGGGGGCAAGCGUUGUCCGGAAUGAUUGGGCGUAAAGGGCGCGUAGGCGGCCUGUUAAGUCUGGAGUGAGAGUCCUGCUUUUAAGGUGGGAAUUGCUUUGGAUACUGAUGGGCUUGAGUGCAGGAGAGGUAAGUGGAAUUCCCAGUGUAGCGGUGAAAUGCGUAGAGAUUGGGAGGAACACCAGUGGCGAAGGCGACUUACUGGACUGUAACUGACGCUGAGGCUCGAAAGCGUGGGGAGCAAACAGGAUUAGAUACCCUGGUA
rnacentral:rRNA from 1 species